AACGAACGCUGGCGGCGCGUCUUAAGCAUGCAAGUCGAACGGCAAGAGAGGAGCUUGCUCCUCUCCUAGAGUGGCGGACUGGUGAGGAACACGUGGGUAAUCUACCCUUAAGAUGGGGAUAGCUGCUAGAAAUAGCAGGUAAUACCGAAUACACUCGGCAUAUCACAAGAGGUGUUGAGGAAAGGAAGUUACGGCUUCGCUUGAGGAUGAGCUUGCGUCCCAUUAGCUAGUUGGUGAGGUAAAGGCCCACCAAGGCGACGAUGGGUAUCCGGCCUGAGAGGGUGAACGGACACAUUGGGACUGAGAUACGGCCCAAACUCCUACGGGAGGCAGCAGCUAAGAAUAUUCCGCAAUGGACGGAAGUCUGACGGAGCGACGCCGCGUGGAUGAAGAAGGCUGAAAAGUUGUAAAAUCCUUUUGUUGAUGAAGAAUAAGGGUGAGAGGGAAUGCUCAUCUGAUGACGGUAAUCGACGAAUAAGCCCCGGCUAAUUACGUG
rnacentral:rRNA from 1 species